AUUACUCCUACGGGAGGCAGCAGUAGGGAAUAUUGGUCAAUGGGCGCAAGCCUGAUCCAGCCAUGCCGCGUGGGUGAAGAAGGCCUUCGGGUUGUAAAGCCCUUUUGUUGGGAAAGAAAACUUUCCGGCUAAUACCCGGAGAGAAUGACGGUACCCAAAGAAUAAGCACCGGCUAACUUCGUGCCAGCAGCCGCGGUAAUAAU
rnacentral:rRNA from 1 species